rnacentral:rRNA from 1 species
AGACUUUGAUUAUGGCUCAGAACGAACGCUGGCGGCAGGCCUAACACAUGCAAGUCGAGCGAACCUUCGGGUUAGCGGCGGACGGGUGAGUAACGCGUGGGAACGUACCCUCUUCUGCGGGAUAGCCACUGGAAACGGUGAGUAAUACCGCAUACGCCCUUCGGGGGAAAGAUUUAUCGGAGGAGGAUCGGCCCGCGUUGGAUUAGGUAGUUGGUGGGGUAAUGGCCUACCAAGCCGACGAUCCAUAGCUGGUUUUAGAGGAUGAUCAGCCACACUGGGACUGAGACACGGCCCAGACUCCUACGGGAGGCAGCAGUGGGGAAUCUUAGACAAUGGGCGCAAGCCUGAUCCAGCCAUGCCGCGUGUGUGAAGAAGGUCUUCCGGAUUGUAAAGCACUUUAAGUUGGGAGGAAGGG